rnacentral:rRNA from 1 species
UCCUACGGGAGGCAGCAGUGGGGAAUCUUGGACAAUGGGGGCAACCCUGAUCCAGCCAUGCCGCGUGAGUGAUGAAGGCCUUAGGGUCGUAAAGCUCUUUCGCCUGUGAAGAUAAUGACGGUAGCAGGUAAAGAAACCCCGGCUAACUCCGUGCCAGCAGCCGCGGUAAUACGGAGGGGGUUAGCGUUGUUCGGAAUUACUGGGCGUAAAGCGCACGUAGGCGGACUGGAAAGUUGGGAGAGAAAUCCCGGGGUUCUACCCUCGGAAUGCCUCCAAAAAAAAUCGUCUUAAUUUCUUAAAAAAGUGCAAGGAAUUCCCACUGGAGAGGUGAAAUUUAAUAAAUUUUGAAAGAACACCAAUUGGCGAAGGCGGCUCACUGGGUCCAAUUUUGCGUCUUAGGUGCGAAAAUGUGGGGAGACAAAAAGGAAUAAUUACCCUGGUAGUCCACCCCUUUA